AAGCUCCUGCUGGCUUCCGUGACCCCACCCUUCAUAUUUCAUCCAAUACAGGUGUGAGAGGGCGCAUGGCUGAAAUAGUGCAUCUUCAAGCCUACAAAGUCAGAGGAGUAUGUUCAUUUGGUUAGUUCAGUUAAAAAAUCCCUUGAGCCAAUUGUAAAGAAAUGUGACUGUUCAGUCCAGAGCUGCUGCUGUUGGACAGACGUGGAUGCGGCCAGGCUGGAUGACACUGCGUGAGGCCCGGCCCAGACUGAUUUGCAUAGACGUGGUCUCUGGCCAUCAAUGGACUGACACGGACUGAAAUGCAGGGCGCUCAGAGAACCCCAAGGAACUUAGGCAACAACACCGUAGUAAUGAAGAGAGUUCUGCAGUACCCGAAGGAAAGCGGUCUUAUACCUGGGGACAGCACCCACGUUCUGCCUCCAACUCCUAGCAGGUCCUAGACCGGUGCUCUGGUGUCAGAGGAUGUGCUUGUUAAACGACGAGAGGCCAGCGGAACACCUGGCUGGAGGAAUAUGCCCACCCCUUGCCCCUGCCCCACAGAUGGUUAUUUUCCUUUUAUGAACCAGGGACUUUUGUGGAUCAGUGACUUAGAGAUCGUGGUGCCAUCAGGUCCUGGCCAAUAACAGGGUUUCUCAGUGAGUUUCUGAGUGUAGUGCCACGAUGCAGACAUGCUGAGAGAAGAAGAAUGUGGAUUCAACAGCCUCCACUCCAGCCUUCUUCAGGAUCCAAGCUCUCAAGUCUAGAACCUGAGAUGAGAGCUGAACUAAAUACUGUGUCUGGAGAAAAGUUAAUGAAUUCGAAUGACCUAAGGAAUGUGAAUUGAUAGCCAAAUUAUGAUUGAUUAUAUUGGAAAUUAAGAAAGAAUGACUUACAGCUUCUCGAUUUGGGCCGAUGGAUGGAUGAAUGAAGAGACCAUUCACGUAGAAGAAGACAGUCUUUGGGAAAGACGUCCCAGUCUGGGAUGGAGCAGAGCAGUCACGUGUGCACCUCCUUCCUUCUCUCCUCAGAUAUAAAUCUCCUUUAAUCUGUCUGGUGAAGCACAGAAAAUAGCUUGGUGGUUUUUCCUUCUCCAGUGAGACAGGAAGUCCUCCCUCUCGCGCCAUCCUGGAAACGUCCUCUCCUAGGCACUCCUGUUCCAGAGCGUCUUUCAUGCUUUCAAACGCUCUCUGCUUUCCCUGACAUGGGGCUUAAUGGUCUCUUCUGCUGGAGUGUAGCUUCCACCGGGGUUUUACUCAUCACUGUUUCCACAAAACCUAGAGCAAAUGAUGACUGAAGGCAUAAAAGAAAAGAGUGCCUGGAAGCUUAGCGCAGCUGUGCCCCCAGAGGGAAGUGACUUCUCAGACGACUGUCAGCAGCUGUCUGAGAAGCUGCGAAUUCCCAGACAGCAGCUCAUCACAGGCCGCGUUGGGGUCGUCGCACACAGUUCAGGCAAAACUCUAACUUCAAGGCCUCCAGGCUGCCUGGCUUUCAGUUCUGAAUUGAGAAGGCCACCCUUUCUGCAGGGUCACUCUGGAGCAACAACCAGCAGAACGCUCACAAUUUAAUAAUGAUAAUAAUAAUAAUAAUAAUUUUAAUCCUUACUUCAGGAUAUACAUGCUUGGAGAGAGGGGAAGGGAGGAAGAGAGAGAAGGAGAGAAGCAUCAAUGUGAGAAACAGCAAUGGUUGUCUUCCAUAUACACUCUGACCUCACACUGAACCUGCAACCCAGGCAUGUGCCCUGACUGGGAAUCGAACCUGUGACUUUUCGUUUUAUAGGACGAUACUCCAACCAACUGUGCCACACAGGCCAGGGCAGGAAGCCUGCAAUUUUAUGUAGGAGAGCAGCUGGCUGGCACAAAGGGCCCAAGUGCUCCUUCUGGUGUGUUUCUCCUCUUUAGACUGAGAGCUCCAUGAGGGGAGACUGGGUCUUAUGAUUUCCCCCCAGACUUAAGGGUGCCAGACACUUAAGGGGAGCUCAGUGCAGCUGUGUUAAAUAAGCAACUGUGUACGUUCAGGUGGAGUUACUGAGCUGCCAUCAUAUCAUGGUUUUUUGAAAUUACAAAUUGGUUCUGAACAUUCUGAAUCAAGCACUAAAAGCAACUGAACAUUUCCGUUUGUAAAGUGCACCUGCCUGUAUUUACCAGAACUGGCUAGACAUCGAAUCUUGGUUAUCCGAAGGGACUCUCUCUCUCCCUUGGGGUUGGUCAAGAACCCCAAGGCUUAUGGGAUCCAGGAAGGUUGAUGAUGGGCCUUGGGUGGCUAGCUAAUUAUGCUUCUGUUCUCAGUGCUUCCUGUUUAUAACACCAAAGGCUAGUGGGGCAAGUCACAGAAAAAAUAGAUAGAAAUAGACAUUAAUUCUCCAAAUAUUUAUUGUGUACUCCAAUGCGCUGAGCUUUGUUGUAAGUCCUUGAGUGUAUCUCACUCCCUUUGUGAGCUUUAUUAUAAUUUUAAUAAUUUUAAAAAAUUGAUUCUUUUUAAUUAUUCAGUACUUUCUUGGCUUCUUAUUUGUUAGCAUUUUCUCUUCUAGGUGAACUUUAAAUUGCUCAGUAAGUUUCGUAAACAAUCCUUUAAACUCGAUUGGAAUUGCAUUGCUUUAUAAAUUGAUUGCAUUAAUUUGCAGAGUAUAGUUAUUGAGCAAAUUAAGCAAUUAAAUGAUUUACCAUUUGGAUCCUCCCAUUAAAAAGUUGUGUUUCCUUUAUAUGCCCAGUUUCCCUUUCUUCAAAAAUGAAGAUGAGUGUUUUAUUAAUAACUCACAAGAUUUCUGAAAUUAAAGAAAUCAUCUAGAUUAUUCCCCACACAUUAUGACAACAUAACAAAUGUUUGUUGCUAUUAUUAUCAUUAUUAUUGUUAUUGUUUUCCUUCACUAUU